rnacentral:lncRNA from 1 species
AAUUUAGGAGGACGGAUGAGUGAUUUAGUUAUUAAAAGCGAUUAAUUAUAGAAUUACGGUUAGAAUUUGGAGAAUCAGGGGAAAGUAUAUAGGAGUUGUAGAAGUUAAUUAAGGUGCCAGACUGUGAGAGUCGUAAGCCGAGGGCUAGACUGUGAUAGUCAUGAACCGAGGACCAUUGCUGUGAUAGUUGUGAGUCGGGAUAAGCUUGGUGCUACCUCUUUUCUUUUGUUUGUUAUUUUUUUUGAAUAAGAGGAUUGAGAGUUUCUGAAUAUUGUGAAGUGAAUUAUGGAAUGGAAAUGUGAUUGGUAUUAUUUGAGAAGAAGAAAGAUUGAAUGCUGAAAUCUGAUUGUAGUUCAGCAGAGAGAAUGAGUCUAUGUUUGUGUGAAACACUGUAAUAUGAAUGGCAGUUCUGUGUGAAGAAUUCCAGUGAUUGAAAUGAGGGUAAUUGUGUGCUGAAAGCUAUGAGGGCGCAGUAUUAUAGUUGGAGAUUAUGAGGGUGAAUAUAUUGGUGGAAAUAGUAGUUAUUGGUAUGACUGAAUUGUUGUAAGGAAGAGAUCGAUAAGAUGAAGGAAGAGAUUAUAGUUUCUUUGUG